GAUGAACGCUGGCGGCGUGCCUAAUACAUGCAAGUCGAGCGAACGGACGAGAAGCUUGCUUUUCUGAUGUUAGCGGCGGACGGGUGAGUAACACGUGGAUAACCUACCUAUAAGACUGGGAUAACUUCGGGAAACCGGAGCUAAUACCGGAUAAUAUUUUGAACCGCAUGAUUCAAAAGUGAAAGACGGUCUUGCUGUCACUUAUAGAUGGAUCCGCGCUGCAUUAGCUAGUUGGUAAGGUAACGGCUUACCAAGGCAACGAUGCGUAGCCGACCUGAGAGGGUGAUCGGCCACACUGGAACUGAGACACGGUCCAGACUCCUACGGGAGGCAGCAGUAGGGAAUCUUCCGCAAUGGGCGAAAGCCUGACGGAGCAACGCCGCGUGAGUGAUGAAGGUCUUCGGAUCGUAAAACUCUGUUAUUAGGGAAGAACAUAUGUGUAAGUAACUGUGCACAUCUUGACGGUACCUAAUCAGAAAGCCACGGCUAACUACGUG
rnacentral:rRNA from 1 species